rnacentral:rRNA from 2 species
GAACGGGAUUUAGUAAACAGAAGCCUCGGCGGAAGAUUACUAAUGAGAGUGGCGAACGGGUGAGUAACGCGUGAGCAACCUGCCUAUGACAGUGGGAUAGCCUCGGGAAACCGGGAUUAAUACCGCAUAAAAUCGUAGAAACACAUGUUUUAACGGUCAAAGAUUUAUCGGUCAUAGAUGGGCUCGCGUCUGAUUAGCUAGUUGGUGAGAUAACAGCCCACCAAGGCGACGAUCAGUAGCCGGUCUGAGAGGAUGAACGGCCACAUUGGAACUGAGACACGGUCCAAACUCCUACGGGAGGCAGCAGUGGGGAAUAUUGCACAAUGGGGGAAACCCUGAUGCAGCGACGCCGCGUGAACGAAGAAGGUAUUCGUAUCGUAAAGUUCUGUCCUAUGGGAAGAUAAUGACAGUACCAUAGAAGAAAGCUCCGGCUAAAUACGUGCCAGCAGCCGCGGUAAUACGUAUGGAGCGAGCGUUGUCCGGAAUUAUUGGGCGUAAAGGGUACGCAGGCGGUUUAAUAAGUCGAAUGUUAAAGAUCGGGGCUCAACCCCGUAAAGCAUUGGAAACUGAUAAACUUGAGUAGUGGAGAGGAAAGUGGAAUUCCUAGUGUAGUGGUGAAAUACGUAGAUAUUAGGAGGAAUACCAGUAGCGAAGGCGACUUUCUGGACACAAACUGACGCUGAGGUACGAAAGCGUGGGGAGCAAACAGG